GUCUCACUUUUUGAAAAUAUCAGCGGUGGUCAUGAGCAGUCAUGUAUGCCUGUAUGAUUCCAGCUACUCAGGAGGCUGAGGCAGGAGGAU
rnacentral:miRNA from 1 species